AGGCUUUCCACAUUUUUGUCCCUGAUUCCGUGGUUUCCCUUUUCCUACGAUGGCAACACUUGAGGAACCUUGGUCUCUGUAAAGAUAUAAGAUGGUUGUCAUUUGGAUGAUUUUAGUUGCACUGAAAUUGAACCAGGUUAGUGGAGAAGGAAAACACAGACAUAGAUGCAGAACUUUGGCAUAUUUUGGUGAUUCUUAAAACAGAUAACAGUGUAGAGAGUCUUUGUUGGGAUUCAGUUCUGUUUGGCUGGACUUAAACAUCAGUGGUGGAUCAUUGAGAAUCAGCUGAGGCCAAGGUAAAUAGUUGGUCAAAUUUAACAACUGAUCUACUAUUUACUGCAGGCAAUUUGCUGAACGUUCACGGUUCAGAAACUCCAAUACAUAGCUGAACCGGAGAGAAAUGUGCAAGCUAUAUAUUUUCCUAUAGUAAGAGUGGAGCUGUUCCACCUACAAGUGUUGUGUGGUUGUAAACUUGUAAAUAAAC
rnacentral:lncRNA from 1 species